GGCCUCUGGGUUUAGUGAAAGAGAGCACCAGAAUAAUGCAAACAGACUGGAGCACAGAGGCAUGGAGACAGACACACAGAGACAGACAGACACAUAGACACACAGACAGAGGGAUCCACAGAAUGGGAGCUUGGGUUAAGUUUGAAUGAAACAGCCAGGGUACUCGUCUCACACACAAAAUGGGCUUGAAAUAUUAGAGCGGUAAAUCCGACAAAACAAGAAAACAUUGAAG